rnacentral:rRNA from 1 species
UACGGAGGGGGCGAGCGUUAUUCGGAAUUAUUGGGCGUAAAGGGCGCGUAGGCGGCGCGAUAAGUCAAAGGUGAAAUCCCUCGGCUCAACUGAGGAACUGCCUUUGAAACUGUCGUGCUUGAGGCCGGGAGGGGGUAGCGGAAUUCCCAGUGUAGCGGUGAAAUGCGUAGAUAUUGGGAGGAACACCAGUGGCGAAGGCGGCUACCUGGACCGGUUCUGACGCUGAUGCGCGAAAGCGUGGGUAGCAAACGGG